GACGAACGCUGGCGGCGCGCCUAACACAUGCAAGUCGAACGAGCGAGAGAGAGCUUGCUUUCUCGAGCGAGUGGCGAACGGGUGAGUAACGCGUGAGGAACCUGCCUCAAAGAGGGGGACAACAGUUGGAAACGACUGCUAAUACCGCAUAAGCCCACGGGUCGGCAUCGACCAGAGGGAAAAGGAGUAAUCCGCUUUGAGAUGGCCUCGCGUCCGAUUAGCUAGUUGGUGAGGUAACGGCCCACCAAGGCAACGAUCGGUAGCCGGACUGAGAGGUUGAACGGCCACAUUGGGACUGAGACACGGCCCAGACUCCUACGGGAGGCAGCAGUGGGGAAUAUUGCACAAUGGGGGAAACCCUGAUGCAGCGACGCCGCGUGGAGGAAGAAGGUCUUCGGAUUGUAAACUCCUGUUGUUGAGGAAGAUAAUGACGGUACUCAACAAGGAAG
rnacentral:rRNA from 1 species